rnacentral:rRNA from 1 species
GUUAAGUGGGAAACGAUGUGGGAAGGCCCAGACAGCCAGGAUGUUGGCUUAGAAGCAGCCAUCAUUUAAAGAAAGCGUAAUAGCUCACUGGUCGAGUCGGCCUGCGCGGAAGAUGUAACGGGGCUAAACCAUGCACCGAAGCUGCGGCAGCGACGCUUAUGCGUUGUUGGGUAGGGGAGCGUUCUGUAAGCCUGUGAAGGUGUACUGUGAGGUAUGCUGGAGGUAUCAGAAGUGCGAAUGCUGACAUAAGUAACGAUAAAGCGGGUGAAAAGCCCGCUCGCCGGAAGACCAAGGGUUCCUGUCCAACGUUAAUCGGGGCAGGGUGAGUCGACCCCUAAGGCGAGGCCGAAAGGCGUAGUCGAUGGGAAACAGGUUAAUAUUCCUGUACUUGGUGUUACUGCGAAGGGGGGACGGAGAAGGCUAUGUUGGCCGGGCGACGGUUGUCCCGGUUUAAGCGUGUAGGCUGGUUUUCCAGGCAAAUCCGGAAAAUCAAGGCUGAGGCGUGAUGACGAGGCACUACGGUGCUGAAGCAACAAAUGCCCUGCUUCCAGGAAAAGCCUCUAAGCAUCAGGUAACAUCAAAUCGUACCCCAAACCGACACAGGUGGUCAGGUAGAGAAUACCAAGGCGCUUGAGAGAACUCGGGUGAAGGAACUAGGCAAAAUGGUGCCGUAACUUCGGGAGAAGGCACGCUGAUAUGUAGGUGAAGCGACUUGCUCGUGGAGCUGAAAUCAGUCGAAGAUACCAGCUGGCUGCAACUGUUUAUUAAAAACACAGCACUGUGCAAACACGAAAGUGGACGUAUACGGUGUGACGCCUGCCCGGUGCCGGAAGGUUAAUUGAUGGGGUCAGCGCAAGCGAAGCUCUUGAUCGAAGCCCCGGUAAACGGCGGCCGUAACUAUAACGGUCCUAAGGUAGCGAAAUUCCUUGUCGGGUAAGUUCCGACCUGCACGAAUGGCGUAAUGAUGGCCAGGCUGUCUCCACCCGAGACUCAGUGAAAUUGAACUCGCUGUGAAGAUGCAGUGUACCCGCGGCAAGACGGAAAGACCCCGUGAACCUUUACUAUAGCUUGACACUGAACAUUGAGCCUUGAUGUGUAGGAUAGGUGGGAGGCUUUGAAGUGUGGACGCCAGUCUGCAUGGAGCCGACCUUGAAAUACCACCCUUUAAUGUUUGAUGUUCUAACGUUGACCCGUAAUCCGGGUUGCGGACAGUGUCUGGUGGGUAGUUUGACUGGGGCGGUCUCCUCCUAAAGAGUAACGGAGGAGCACGAAGGUUGGCUAAUCCUGGUCGGACAUCAGGAGGUUAGUGCAAUGGCAUAAGCCAGCUUGACUGCGAGCGUGACGGCGCGAGCAGGUGCGAAA